GACGAAUGCUGGCUGCGUGCUUAACACAUGCAAGUCGAACGGUGAUGGAGGGCUUGCCCUCCGGAUCAGUAGCGAACGGGUGAGUAACACGUGGGCAACCUGCCCCUCACUCUGGGAUAACGCCGGGAAACCGGCGCUAAUACCGGAUACGACCAGGCGCGACAUCUCGCCGGGUGGAAAGAAUUUCGGUGAGGGAUGGGCCCGCGGCCUAUCAGCGUGUUGGUGGGGUAACGGCCCACCAAGGCGACGACGGGUAGCCGGCCUGAGAGGGGGACCGGCCACACUGGGACUGAGACACGGCCCAGACUCCUACGGGAGGCAGCAGUGGGGAAUAUUGCGCAAUGGGCGAAAGCCUGACGCAGCGACGCAGCGUGAGGGACGAAGGCCUUCGGGUUGUAAACCUCUCUCAGCGGGGACGAAGCGAAAGUGACGGUACCCGCAGAAGAAGCACCGGCUAACUACGUGCCAGCAGCCGCAGUAAGAC
rnacentral:rRNA from 1 species